UACGGAGGGUGCAAGCGUUAUCCGGAUUCACUGGGUUUAAAGGGUGCGUAGGCGGGCAGGUAAGUCCGUGGUGAAAUCUCCAAGCUUAACUUGGAAACUGCCGUGGAUACUAUUUGUCUUGAAUAUAGUGGAGGUGAGCGGAAUAUGUCAUGUAGCGGUGAAAUGCUUAGAUAUGAUAUAGAACACCCAUUGCGAAGGCAGCUCGCUACACUAUUAUUGACGCUGAGGCACGAAAGCGUGGGGAGCAAACAGG
rnacentral:rRNA from 1 species